rnacentral:rRNA from 1 species
CGGACGGGUGAGUAACACGUGGAUAACCUACCUAUAAGACUGGGAUAACUUCGGGAAACCGGAGCUAAUACCGGAUAAUAUAUUGAACCGCAUGGUUCAAUAGUGAAAGACGGUUUUGCUGUCACUUAUAGAUGGAUCCGCGCCGCAUUAGCUAGUUGGUAAGGUAACGGCUUACCAAGGCAACGAUGCGUAGCCGACCUGAGAGGGUGAUCGUCCACACUUGAACUGAGACACGGUCCAG